UUCUCUAUUGAGCUUAUAUAUCUUGUCACUGUGUUAUAAACAUAUAUUUAAUACUUAAUAGUAUGAGGAUUAACAAAACUAGUGAUAUGUAAUGUAAAAAACUCACCUACCCACAUAAGGCCUUAUUAGGCAGGUAGGUACAUUGAUAAGUUUAUAUGAAUGGAAAAAAUAAUAAUUAUUAUCUUGCUGAUGGAAGACAACCAUUUGACAAAUCAGGGCUUUCAAUUUCAAGAAAGCUUGUAAGUAAAGUUUUCCUUGAAGAUUGUGGUAUUGAACUACUUGAGGAUGAUACUUUUAGUUGACUUUCUGUUCCUUUUUCAAUCUUAGAAGCAUCUUGUAUAGCCAAAAUCACUUCUUGCAUCCUUGGCCUUGAGGCACCAUGUGGUUCUACACAUUGCAUGGCUAUUUCAGCAACCCUCCAAAUUGACUCAGUUUUCACAUUUCCAAUCAGUAAAGGAUCCAUAAUGCUGAUUAUAUCGCCUUUACGGAUUAAGGAUCUUGCCUGCAAAAACACUUGGAGCUUAUCUACUGGCAUAAGCACUUGUGAGACUGUCUGAGAUAGUUUUUGAAAACAGUUUAUAACAUGUUCUCUUCUGGUGAUACAGGCUUCUUCCCACAUAUCAGUUCCAACAGAACAACUCCAAAACUGUAUACAUCACUCUUUUCAGUUAAUUGCUGAUUUGCAUAGUACCUGUUAAUGUGGUAAAAAAGAAUUUGAGCUCAACGUGUUACGGAAAAAUAAUGCUGUUGAUCAUGGAAAUAUGAGGCAAAUGUCUUACUCAGGAUCCAGGAGAAUGUUGCUCGUCUUUACGUCUCGGUGAAUGAUACUAGGAUUGCAUCCUGUGUAUAAUAAUCCUGCUGGUAUGUCCCCGGUAAAUGAGUUAUUCUGUAUGUACCUGGCAUAGAUUCGUUCAUAAAGAUCCGAUGGGGGACAUUUAGUUUCAGUUGGAGAAAUACUGAGCUAACAACGAAAAAUGCUACAAGUUGUUCUGAAAGUAGAGAUGAUGAGCAUUGGUGAAUAAAUGUUACAUACAAUGCUUGUAAACCUGGUAAACUACCCAGGCUUCCAUGUUGUUGAGCUCUCGAGGGAUUUCACCGGUCAAAUUCCUUCCUGACAAGUUUCUAAUACAAGGUGUAGCAGUACUACAAUUCACCCACUCCCAUGGAGUUGGAACGCAAGGAUCGCCUUCAUUCUUUGGGAUAAUCUCGUCAGACAAGGAGGAAAAUGCAUUUACGAAAUUUGCUGGAAAAGAGAAGUAUGGUUAGUAAUUUGUUCAUUUGAUACAACAUAUGUAAUUGUUGAGUUUCUUCAAUACAUGCACCAGAAUAUCUAUUUUCCCAAAUACAUAGUGAUAUUAAGAACUUACAAUCUUGCUU
rnacentral:lncRNA from 1 species